CAGUAGCCGCGGGAAUACGUAGGUGGCAAGCGUUGUCCGGAAUUAUUGGGCGUAAAGGGCUCGCAGGCGGUUUCUUAAGUCUGAUAUGAAAGCCCCCGGCUCAACCGGGGAGGGUCAUUGGAAACUGGGAAACUUGAGUGCAGAAGAGGAGAGUGGAAUUCCACGUGUAGCGGUGAAAUGCGUAGAGAUGUGGAGGAACACCAGUGGCGAAGGCGACUCUCUGGUCUGUAACUGACGCUGAGGAGCGAAAGCGUGGGGAGCGAACAGGAUUAGAUACCCCGGUAGUCCCUGUCUCUUAUAC
rnacentral:rRNA from 1 species